GACGAACGCUGGCGGCGUGCUUAACACAUGCAAGUCGAACGGAAAGGCCCUGCUUUUGUGGGGUGCUCGAUUGGCGAACGGGUGAGUAACACGUGAGUAACCUGCCCUUGACUGUGGGAUAACUUCAGGAAACUGGGGCUAAUACCGGAUAGGAGCUCCUGCUGCAUGGGGGGGGUUGGAAAGUUUCGGCGGUUGGGGAUGGACUCGCGGCUUAUCAGCUUGUUGGUGGGGUAGUGGCUUACCAAGGCUUUGACGGGUAGCCGGCCUGAGAGGGUGACCGGCCACAUUGGGACUGAGAUACGGCCCAGACUCCUACGGGAGGCAGCAGUGGGGAAUAUUGCACAAUGGGCGGAAGUCUGAUGCAGCAACGCCGCGUGCGGGAUGACGGCCUUCGGGUUGUAAACCGCUUUCGCAUGUGACGAAGCGUGAGUGACGGUAAUGGGUAAAGAAGCACCGGCUAACUACGUG
rnacentral:rRNA from 1 species